GACGAACGCUGGCGGCGUGCCUAAUACAUGCAAGUCGAACGCAGUGGGGACGGGUGAGUAACACGUGGGUAACCUCCCAUCAGAGGGGAUAACAAUUGGAAACAGGUUCUAAACAGAUAAUGAUAGAUGGACCCGCGGUGCAUUAGCUAGUUGGUGAGGGACCGGCGCACCAAGGCCACGAUGCAUAGCCUACCGUAGAGUGGGGUCGGCCACACUGGGACUGAGACACGGCCCAGAUUCCUACGGGAGGCAGCAGUAGGGAAUCUUCGGCAAUGGACGAAAGUCUGACCGAGCAACGCCGCGUGAGUGAAGAAGGUUGUCGGAUCGUAAAACUCUGUUGUUAGAGAAGCGGUAUCUAACCAGAAAGCCACGGCUAACUACGUGCCAGCAGCCGCGGUAAUUC
rnacentral:rRNA from 1 species